rnacentral:rRNA from 1 species
GAUGAACGCUGGCGGCGUGCCUAAUACAUGUAAGUCGAGCGAACAGAUGAGGAGCUUGCUCCUCUGACGUUAGCGGCGGACGGGUGAGUAACACGUGGAUAACCUACCUAUAAGACUGGGAUAACUUCGGGAAACCGGAGCUAAUACCGGAUAAUAUAUUGAACCGCAUGGUUCAAUAGUGAAAGACGGUUUUGCUGUCACUUAUAGAUGGAUCCGCGCCGCAUUAGCUAGUUGGUAAGGUAACGGCUUACCAAGGCAACGAUGUGUAGCCGACCUGAGAGGGUGAUCGGCCACACUGGAACUGAGACACGGUCCAGACUCCUACGGGAGGCAGCAGUAGGGAAUCUUCCGCAAUGGGCGAAAGCCUGACGGAGCAACGCCGCGUGAGUGAUGAAGGUCUUCGGAUCGUAAAACUCUGUUAUUAGGGAAGAACAAAUGUGUAAGUAACUAUGCACGUCUUGACGGUACCUAAUCAGAAAGCCACGGCUAACUACGUG